UCUCUGUGGAUGUGUGUGGGGGGAAUUCUGUGUGUGUUGUUAAACUCCCUGCCCCCGGGGGGUGGAUGAGGACGUGGAGUCCUCCUCCCUAGUGAUCAAACAUGAGCUUUAUGAUCGACUGAGACCAUAAAGAACAAACCACACAGACACAUACAGGCCUAGUGUAUGUGAGACUGACUGCAACCCAGAGGAAUGAGAGACACUGUGUGUGUGUGUGUGUGUGUGUGUGUGUGUGUGUGUGUGUGUGUGUGUGUGUGUGUGUGUGUGUGUGUGUGUGUGUGUGUGUGUGUGUGUGUGAUCAUGCUGUAGGUGUCCAGAGGGUACAUUCACUAACUUGGGACUUGGCAGGAAGUGAGCUCAGCUAGAGUUCUCCAUCAACCUGGGGUUUUACACACACACAUGGUUCCAUAUAAGGUCCACGUCCACCUGGGUUUUAUCCAUCUAAUGUGACACAUUUUCUCACUGGGUUGGCACAUAUGAUGCAUGACACACACUUCAAUUGGAAGGGUUUUAGUAUGUUUUCAAUGAAAUGAGUUCCCACACACCUGGGGGUUUCCACCCUGUGUUUGACACACUUCCUCCCUGUGACUAGAGGUGGAGGAGUUAUUGAUCAGGCUUGUCACACUGACACACACUUCCUCCCUGUGACUAGAGGUGGAGGAGUUAUUGAUGAGGCUUGUCACACCGACACACACUUCUAUGGGGGGCAGGUUUCUGGUAUGUAUUGGGCUCACGUGUUCCAAUUACAUUACUUACACGUUUCAUUUCCGAAGCUACUGGUCCCAUUGAGGAACCUCGGUUUAAUGAAUAAAGAUAUACAUCUGGAA